AUUGAACGCUGGCGGCAUGCUUUACACAUGCAAGUCGAACGGUAACAGGCCGCAAGGUGCUGACGAGUGGCGAACGGGUGAGUAAUGCAUCGGAACGUGCCCAGUCGUGGGGGAUAACUACUCGAAAGAGUAGCUAAUACCGCAUACGAUCUAUGGAUGAAAGCGGGGGACCGUAAGGCCUCGCGCGAUUGGAGCGGCCGAUGUCAGAUUAGGUAGUUGGUGGGGUAAAGGCUCACCAAGCCAACGAUCUGUAGCUGGUCUGGGAGGACGACCAGCCACACUGGGACUGAGACACGGCCCAGACUCCUACGGGAGGCAGCAGUGGGGAAUUUUGGACAAUGGGCGCAAGCCUGAUCCAGCAAUGCCGCGUGCAGGAAGAAGGCCUUCGGGUUGUAAACUGCUUUUGUACGGAACGAAACGGCUCUGGUUAAUACCCGGGGCUAAUGACGGUACCGGAAGAAUAAGCACCGGCUAACUACGUG
rnacentral:rRNA from 1 species